UACGGAGGUGGCAAGCGUUGCUCGGAAUCACUGGGCGUAAAGGGCGCGUAGGCGGGGAGGUAAGUCGGGUGUGAAAUCCCUCGGCCCAACUGAGGAACUGCGCUCGAGACUGCUUCUCUUGAGUCCCGGAGAGGAAGAUGGAAUUCCCGGUGUAGCGGUGAAAUGUGUAGAGAUCGGGAGGAACACCGGUGGCGAAGGCGGUCUUCUGGACGGUGACUGACGCUGAGGCGCGAAAGCGUGGGGAGCGAACAGG
rnacentral:rRNA from 1 species